rnacentral:tRNA from 2 species
GGUAAGAUGGCUGAGUUAGGCGGUGGAUUGUAGCCCCACAUACAGAGGUUUGAGCCCUCUUCUUACCA